rnacentral:rRNA from 1 species
UGAGGAAUUUUGCGCAAUGGGGGGAACCCUGACGCAGCAACGCCGCGUGGGUGAUGAAGGCCUUCGGGUCGUAAAGCCCUGUCGGGCGGGAAGAACGUCCCUUCGGGGAAUGACGGUACCGCCAGCGGAAGCACCGGCUAACUCCGUGCCAGCAGCCGCGGUAAUACGGAGGGUGCCAGCGUUAUUCGGAAUUACUGGGCGUAAAGGGCGUGCAGGCGGGAGAGCAAGUCUGAUGUGAAAGCCCGGGGCUUAACCCCGGAAGGGCAUUGGAAACUGCUUGUCUUGAGUUCUGGAGAGGAAGGGAGAAUUCCCGGUGUAGAGGUGAAAUUCGUAGAGAGCGGGAGGAACAUCAGUGGCGAAGGCGCCCUUCUGGACAGAAACUGACGCUGAGACGCGAAAGCGUGGGGAGCAAACA